AUCCAGUUGACGAGUCUCAAAUAGGACGAAACGCGCGUCCUGGAU
rfam:Schistosoma rodhaini strain Burundi genome assembly, scaffold: SROB_scaffold0010027